UACGAAGGGGGCGAGCGUUGUUCGGAAUUACUGGGCGUAAAGGGCGCGCAGGCGGCUCAGACAGUCAGGCGUGAAAGCCCCGGGCUUAACCUGGGAAUUGCGCUUGAUACUCUGAGACUGGAGUACGGGAGAGGAGAGUGGAAUUCCCAGUGUAGAGGUGAAAUUCGUAGAUAUUGGGAAGAACACCGGUGGCGAAGGCGGCGACCUGGUCCGAUACUGACGCUGAGGCGCGAAAGCGUGGGGAGCAAACAGG
rnacentral:rRNA from 1 species